rnacentral:rRNA from 1 species
AUGAACGCUAGCUACAGGCUUAACACAUGCAAGUCGAGGGGCAGCAUGGUCUUAGCUUGCUAAGGCCGAUGGCGACCGGCGCACGGGUGAGUAACACGUAUCCAACCUGCCGUCUACUCUUGGACAGCCUUCUGAAAGGAAGAUUAAUACAAGAUGGCAUCAUGAGUCCGCAUGUUCACAUGAUUAAAGGUAUUCCGGUAGACGAUGGGGAUGCGUUCCAUUAGAUAGUAGGCGGGGUAACGGCCCACCUAGUCUUCGAUGGAUAGGGGUUCUGAGAGGAAGGUCCCCCACAUUGGAACUGAGACACGGUCCAAACUCCUACGGGAGGCAGCAGUGAGGAAUAUUGGUCAAUGGGCGAGAGCCUGAACCAGCCAAGUAGCGUGAAGGAUGACUGCCCUAUGGGUUGUAAACUUCUUUUAUAAAGGAAUAAAGUCGGGUAUGCAUACCCGUUUGCAUGUACUUUAUGAAUAAGGAUCGGCUAACUCCGUGCCAGCAGCCGCGGUAAUACGGAGGAUCCGAGCGUUAUCCGGAUUUAUUGGGUUUAAAGGGAGCGUAGAUGGAUGUUUAAGUCAGUUGUGAAAGUUUGCGGCUCAACCGUAAAAUUGCAGUUGAUACUGGAUAUCUUGAGUGCAGUUGAGGCAGGCGGAAUUCGUGGUGUAGCGGUGAAAUGCUUAGAUAUCACGAAGAACUCCGAUUGCGAAGGCAGCCUGCUAAGCUGCAACUGACAUUGAGGCUCGAAAGUGUGGGUAUCAAACAGGAUUAGAUACCCUGGUAGUCCACACGGUAAACGAUGAAUACUCGCUGUUUGCGAUAUACUGCAAGCGGCCAAGCGAAAGCGUUAAGUAUUCCACCUGGGGAGUACGCCGGCAACGGUGAAACUCAAAGGAAUUGACGGGGGCCCGCACAAGCGGAGGAACAUGUGGUUUAAUUCGAUGAUACGCGAGGAACCUUACCCGGGCUUAAAUUGCAGAUGAAUUACGGUGAAAGCCGUAAGCCGCAAGGCAUCUGUGAAGGUGCUGCAUGGUUGUCGUCAGCUCGUGCCGUGAGGUGUCGGCUUAAGUGCCAUAACGAGCGCAACCCUUGUUGUCAGUUACUAACAGGUUCCGCUGAGGACUCUGACAAGACUGCCAUCGUAAGAUGUGAGGAAGGUGGGGAUGACGUCAAAUCAGCACGGCCCUUACGUCCGGGGCUACACACGUGUUACAAUGGGGGGUACAGAGGGCCGCUACCACGCGAGUGGAUGCCAAUCCCCAAAACCUCUCUCAGUUCGGACUGGAGUCUGCAACCCGACUCCACGAAGCUGGAUUCGCUAGUAAUCGCGCAUCAGCCAUGGCGCGGUGAAUACGUUCCCGGGCCUUGUACACACCGCCCGUCAAGCCAUGGGAGCCGGGGGUACCUGAAGUGCGUAACCGCGAGGAGCGCCCUAGGGUAAAACUGGUGACUGGGGCU